UUCGCGUUCUGCGGAGCCGGCGCCCGGCGCCCGGGCAAAGGGAUGCGAGGGAUGCGAGGGAUGGGGGAGCUCCCCUUGGCCUCCAUGUUCGUUCCCCGGGGAGAUUUUAUCGUCUUGGGGAGACGCCGGUGCUGUGGUAAAGCUUAAGGCUCAAAGCAGAGUCACCUGUGACGGGGCCAGCCCGCCCCUCUGUCACCACCCUGUUUUCUGAGAUUUCUGUCCUUUCAUUGCCGAUGGAAAGCAACGGAGAGAUGUGGGGAAAAGAACAGCCGAUUGUGUGAAAAACCCAGUGCCUGCAAAAAGGGACAUUGGCCAUCCAGGCGAAGGUGCGCAAGGGAGAGCACUAAUCGCUGAACCAGGAGACAAAUACGAUUACCAGCUCCGAGCCUUGAGUCAGAAAGUCUCAUAGACUUUAAGAUGUUAAUCCCCAACAUAAUCCUUCCUUUGGCGUGUAGGAAUAGUGCAGCCACAAGAGUUGUUUUGUUAUUUAUAUUGGCGUUUAAUAAAACUCAGCCAGUGGUGAAUGGGCUGCCCACUCUCCAAUGGUAAUUAAUUCCCUAUUUCAGUGACCCAAUUGUGCUGGGAUAGAGCAGUGGGACAGUCCCACUGCCCCAACCCGCCUUUGUGCAGCUACACGGCUCUCGUGCUUCAACAGCUAUGGAAACUCAUUCUUUUGAUGUCAUUCAAUGAGUUUUCCUUGGGCAUCUUCUAAACUUCAAGGACCCUUUUCUUUCUCGAACGCCUGAAAAGCAGGACUAGCUUGACCACCUCUGUAGAAUUUAAUGAUUUGG